GAUGAAGAACGUAGCGAAAUGCGAUAAGUAGUGUGAAUUGCAGAAUUCAGUGAAUCAUCGAAUCUUUGAACGCACAUUGCGCCCCUUGGUAUUCCAUGGGGCAUGCCUGUUCGAGCGUCAUUUGUACCUUCAAGCUCUGCUUGGUGUUGGGUGUUUUGUCUCGCCUCUGCGUGUAGACUCGCCUUAAAACAAUUGGCAGCCGGCGUAUUGAUUUCGGAGCGCAGUACAUCUCGCGCUUUGCACUCAUAACGGCGACGUCCAAAAGUACAUUUUUACACUCUUGACCUCGGAUCAGGUAGGGAUACCCGCUGAACUUACGCAUAUCAAUAAGCGGAGGA
rnacentral:misc_RNA from 1 species